rnacentral:rRNA from 1 species
GAGUUUGAUCAUGGCUCAGAUUGAACGCUGGCGGCAUGCCUUACACAUGCAAGUCGAGCGGCAGCGCGGGGGCAACCCUGGCGGCGAGCGGCGAACGGGUGAGUAAUGCAUCGGAACGUGUCCUCUUGUGGGGGAUAACCAGUCGAAAGACUGGCUAAUACCGCAUGAGAUCGAGAGAUGAAAGCAGGGGACCGCAAGGCCUUGCGCGAGAGGAGCGGCCGAUGCCGGAUUAGCUAGUUGGUGGGGUAAAGGCCUACCAAGGCGACGAUCCGUAGCUGGUCUGAGAGGACGACCAGCCACACUGGGACUGAGACACGGCCCAGACUCCUACGGGAGGCAGCAGUGGGGAAUUUUGGACAAUGGGGGCAACCCUGAUCCAGCCAUGCCGCGUGUGUGAAGAAGGCCUCGGUU